CCUACGGGUGGCAGCAGUGAGGAAUAUUGGUCAAUGGGCGUAAGCCUGAACCAGCCAAGUCGCGUGAGGGAUGAAGGUUCUAUGGAUCGUAAACCUCUUUUAUAAGGGAAUAAAGUGUGGGACGUGUCCUGUUUUGUAUGUACCUUAUGAAUAAGGAUCGGCUAACUCCGUGCCAGCAGCCGCGGUAAUACGGAGGAUCCGAGCGUUGUCCGGAUUUAUUGGGUUUAACGGGUGCGUAGGCGGCCUUUUAAGUCAGCGGUGAAAGUCUGUGGCUCAACCAUAGAAUUGCCGUUGAAACUGGGAGGCUUGAGUAUGUUUGAGGCAGGCGGAAUGCGUGGUGUAGCGGUGAAAUGCUUAGAUAUCACGAAGAACCCCGAUUGCGAAGGCAGCCUGCCGCAGCGUUACUGACGCUGAAGCUCGAAAGCGCGGGUAUCGAACAGGAUUAGAUACCCUAGUAGUC
rnacentral:rRNA from 1 species